ACAGAGACAGAGACAGAGAAAUAUGGGCACCAUACCUUGGUACAGUGGAAGGAGGGCUGAUUCAGGAGUCAGAGAACCUGGGGUCGAGGCCUCCCCCUGCCCCUUAACUAUGUGACCAUGAGUGAAUCACUUACCCCCCUGUGCCUCAGUUUCUUCAUUUGUAAAAUUAGUGGGGGGAGGGGUGGAACUAGAUGGACUCUAAGGUUCCUUCUAGCUCUCCAUCUUAGACUUGGUGAUGCUCUGCUAUGAAGGUGUGUAGACAGGGCCUCAUCCUUCUUUAUUUCUCUCUCAUUCUUUCCCUGCUUCCCUAGGAUCUGUGUAAGGUAGAGUAUUGGAUUUCAUGCCUCCCUGUCUCCCAUUCCCCUGCUCUCCGCCCCCCGCAGGCCUGGGCCUCUUUGGACUGGUCCUGAGUCCUCUAGAUGCCUGCCUGCCCCCUUAGAUUCCUGACCCAUGCCUUCACUUGCCCCCUUUCCUCCUUCCCUCUUCCCUGGACUCUAGUCCUAUUUAUGUGACCCCUGACAGUUUCUCUGCCCUCUGCAGCCUUGUCAUCCUGGUCGCUCUGAAUGCUCUCCUUUUCUACCGGCUCUGGUCCUUGGAGAGGACAGCCCACACCUUUGAGGCCUGGCACAGCCUUGCUCUGGGCAAAGACCCCAACUCUCCCCAUAGGAAGUUUCCUCAGACGGCAGCUGAGUGGGCAGAAAUCUUGGCCCUCCAGAAGCAGUUCCACAGUGUGGAAGUGCACAAAUGGCGGCAGAUUCUCCGGGCUUCUGUCGAGCUGCUGGAUGAGAUGAAGUUCUCCCUGGAGAAACUCCACCAGGGCAUCGAGAUGUCAGAACCCCCCUUUGACCCUGAGCCCCUUGGAGAGAACGCUUUCUCUUGAGACUCCCUCCUUCUCCCUCUCAAUCAGCCCCCAGUGAAUGGACAGAUGGACAGCCUCAGUGGACACUGCUGGACCAGUGCUGGACCCUUUGGAUGCCUGCUCCCCCACCUGUAGCCCCCUGCUGUGCCUCCUUUUCCCCACCAGCCCUUUAUCUCCAAUAUCCACAAGAAACUUUCCUCCCCAUAAACAGAACAGUCCCCAACUCCCCCUGUCCCCCCACCCCCAUCCCUGCACCCCCCAGGUCAGGGGAGAAUGGUCGGACACUUCGACUGCAGAGCUGUGAUGCACUUUAGAACCUGGGGAGGGUACACUGGGGGAGUGGGGGGGAAGAGAACAAUAUUCUUGCCCCUCCCCUCUAGCCUCCAACAACUGUUUGCCUCCCCCCUCUCCCAGAUGAUACUUGAGAUGAUCCUGGAGCUGGUUGCAAGGGCCUUCUCUGCAGCUCCUUCCCCCCCUCUUUCCCCCUCUGGGUAAUUUAUUUGGAAAGGGUCAAGCUGCCCCCUGGGAGGGGGACAGACCUAGGGUGGGGAAUCCUAUGGACAGGGGAAGGCUGACUGUUUAGUGUUCCCCCAGAGAUGGGGUCUAAUGUAUUAUAUUUAUUUGGGGCAAACGGAGCCCCAAUAAAGGGUCGGAAAUGUU